GUGCCAGCAGCCGCGGUAAGACAGAGGGUGCGAACGUUGUUCGGAAUUACUGGGCGUAAAGCGCGUGUAGGCGGUUUGGCAAGUCGGAUGUGAAAGCCCAGGGCUCAACCCUGGAAGUGCACUCGAAACUGCCGAACUGGAGUCCCGGGGAGGAAGGCGGAAUUCUCGGUGUAGAGGUGAAAUUCGUAGAUAUCGAGAGGAACACCUGUGGCGAAGGCGGCCUUCUGGACGGUGACUGACGCUGAGACGCGAAAGCGUGGGGAGCAAACAGGAUUAGAUACCCUAGUAGUCC
rnacentral:rRNA from 1 species